rnacentral:misc_RNA from 1 species
GAUGAAGAACGCAGUGAAAUGCGAUAAGUAGUGUGAAUUGCAGAAUUCAGUGAAUCAUCGAAUCUUUGAACGCACAUUGCGCCCCUUGGUAUUCCAUGGGGCAUGCCUGUUCGAGCGUCAUUUGUACCUUCAAGCUCUGCUUGGUGUUGGGUGUUUGUCUCGCCUCUGCGUGUAGACUCGCCUCGAAACAAUUGGCAGCCGGCGUAUUGAUUUCGGAGCGCAGUACAUCUCGCGCUUUGCACUCAUAACGACGACGUCCAAAAGUACAUUUUUACACUCUUGACCUCGGAUCAGGUAGGGAUACCCGCUGAACUUAAGCAUAUCAAUAAGCGGAGGA